UUCCCUGCACAAUCUUGGUCAAAACAAGUGUAUUUCCUUCUAAACUUUUGUCUAGGUGAUUCAAGAUUUUCUACCAGAAGAAGUUGUCCAUCAAAAGCUUCCCAGCUCACUCCUACCCUGAGUUCCAGGAAUCUUUAAUCUGCCAUAGGGGGAAAAAACCACGUGGUGACAUGAAUCAUACCUAAGUAACUCAGGGCACUGAGAAAAGAGCUUCCAGACAAGAAUUCUACCACUCUGAGUGUGGAAAAUAUUCAUCAGUGCACCUGAUGCUGAAGCUAUGCCUCAGGCCAUUACAUGUAGCUAUGAGCAGCUACAAUUCAGAAGCUGGAGAGGUGACCUGCAGUGGGAGAGGAACAGAGCCUGGAAAUGUGCAGGAAACCACAAUCUGGGAUGCGGGAAA
rnacentral:lncRNA from 1 species